GGGAGACAGGGAGAGGGAGGGAGGGAAGAAGGGAGCCGGCGCUCCGCCCGCCACCCCCGCUGCCCCUUGGCGUCACAGAAUCACAGAAUAGUUGGGCGUGGAAGGGACCUCUGGAGAUCACCCAGUCCAACCCCCCUACCCAGGAAGGGUCACCUGGAGCAGGAGCCCAGAACUGGACACAGCACUCCAGAUGUGGCCGAUGUGCCACUCUGUCACCACCUCGGGGACACAGGACACUGCUGGGGACAGGCCCUGGCACAGACCCACAGCCCUGGACUCAGGCCAGCAAGGGGGAUGAGUCCCAGCUGAAGCACAAACUCACAGAAACACAUAGAACAGCAGCUUCCAGACUCUGGCACUGUAUGUAACUCCUUACUUUGAACCCCAAACCUCUCCUACAGAUGCCAAGGCCAGCACAAACACAAGAGCCUGUGCAACCUUUCCAACCACUCACAGCAGCACCAAGCAGCCUGCCACUGGGAACCACUACCUCCAAAAUCCAU